rnacentral:rRNA from 1 species
GGAUAACCUACCCUUAGGACCGGGAUAACCUUGGGAAACUGAGGAUAAUACUGGAUAGGCAAUUAUUCCUGCAAUGGUUUUUUGUUUAAAUGUUUUUUCGCCUAAGGAUGGGUCUGCGGCCGAUUAGGUAGUUGGUUAGGUAAUGGCUUACCAAGCCGUUGAUCGGUACGGGUUGUGAGAGCAAGAGCCCGGAGAUGGAACCUGAGACAAGGUUCCAGGCCCUACGGGGUGCAGCAGGCGCGAAACCUCCGCAAUGUGAGAAAUCGCGACGGGGGGAUCCCAAGUGCCAUUCUUAACGGGAUGGCUUUUCAUUAGUGUAAAGAGCUUUUGGAAUAAGGGCUGGGCAAGACCGGUGCCAGCCGCCGCGGUAACACCGGCAGCUCUAGUGGUAGCAGUUUUUAUUGGGCCUAAAGCGUCCGUAGCCGGUUUAAUAAGUCUCUGGUGAAAUCCUGUAGCUUAACUGUGGGAAUUGCUGGAGAUACUAUUAGACUUGAGACCGGGAGAGGUUAGAGGUACUCCCAGGGUAGAGGUGAAAUUCUGUAAUCCUGGGAGGACCGCCUGUUGCGAAGGCGUCUAACUGGAACGGUUCUGACGGUGAGGGACGAAAGUUAGGGGCGCGAACCGGAUUAGAUACCCGGGUAGUCCUAACCGUAAACGAUGCGGACUUGGUGUUGGGGUGGCUUUGAGCUGCUCCAGUGCCGAAGGGAAGCUGUUAAGUCCGCCGCCUGGGAAGUACGGUCGCAAGACUGAAACUUAA